GGUGAAGCUGCGAUCGAGGGACGAGGAAGUAUACAAUUAGCGAUUGGCAUUCAUAACUCACCACCCCUGGCCUGACGGACCCCGACUGAUUUCCGGGUCACGUGACUGACGCACACUCCGCGAAGGGGAAGUCGACCGUGGUCUGAACCGACCGUAACUGGAGCAGUAGGCGCGCACUAAAGAUACACGCAGGCCUCGGUUGGGGACCGGUGGCUCACAUGACCGCAGCGGUGCUGCCUCCCUGCGCUCGACCCGCCGUGCGGGUGCCGAGUCCGACGCGGCACAGCGGGGAACAACAGCACACCGGAGGCGUCGGAUAUUUCCACGUGAUCCGUUGUGACAGAGCGGUUUGAAACUACGUUUUCACACCAAGUAUAGCGGAGGAGUCCAAAUCAAGAGAAGCAGGCCUCUGUGAUUCAUGUGCCUGUCAAGAUGAGUACAGACAGACCCAAACGAAAUAUCAUCAAAAAGAAAUAUGACAUCAGUGACGGGAUGCCUUGGUGUGAAGAACGUCUGGUCCGCAAAGUUCUUUUCCUCUCUCUCAGGGAAUUCAGGGACACGCACCGCGCCAUGCACACACACUCGCACAGACACACACGCGUGUCGGAAAACACGCGCCUACAGCGAAAGACGCAGGCGCUGCCGAAAACCGCGCGCGCAGGACCGAGUGCGCACGCGCCCCAGCAGAGGGCCGCGCGCAGGCCACCGAACACCACAGCUAGCACGCACACCGCAAAACACCCACAAGGCAAAGUGCAAAGAAACAACUCGUCUCAGGACUCGCACACGCCGAAAAGUAAAUGCACUCACCCACUACAGAACAGGCGAACGCAAUCAAAAACGUGCGGCGGGAAAAUGAAGCGCGCCGUCCAGCACGCACACCUACGAGAAAGUACACGCGCCUUCCGGAAGAAUUCGGCAACAACAAGGACGCUGCGCUCGCACAAAAAACAGAAGGCACGGACGCUGCAGUGCUCCAGAUACGCAGAAACCGCCAAACGGGCGCACGCUCCUCAGCAGAAGCACUCCGUGAAAAGCACCUGCGCACCCGGGAACCCGCGGGCGCUGCUGAGCCCCCCCGGCGCCGCCCGGGCGCUGCGGUCACAUGUUCCCACGCGCCUCAAAGGCUCCCGGGUGAACGGCAUCAGCCGCUGUCGCUCCGUCCUGUCGGCGAGCUGGAGCUGGUCUUUACCGGCACGCCCUCAAGAGCGGCGCCAUGCUGGCAUCCAUCGCCUGAAGGCCGCUCCGGUGUGCGUGGAGAAAAGGCCGCGGGUGCAAGCGCAGAGGAAGUUUGCCCAGUCCCCUCCCAGCUCUCCGGGACCAACAGUUUCGAGGACACCGGCACGAAGCAACCACGUCCACAACCUGUCCGUGGUCACCUGUCUUACCCGACGCCGGCCCAAGACCGAGGACUUCUUGUCCUUCCUCUGUCUGAGAGGUUCAGCGGCGUUGCCUAGCAACAUGUCCUUCUUAGCCAGCGGACGAGCGAAGGAGCCAUCUGGCGCUCAGCAUCUCGCCUCCUGUCGCUCCACCAAUCACAGGACCGCCGCUGAGGGGAAGACCAUGAGCAUGAUCAGUAGAACCACAGCACAGCGAGACUUUAAGUCUCUGCGAAGGAGGCCUGGCGGCUCUGCAGUGGUCACCUCCUUCUGUCCUCCCACUGCCCGCGCACAGAGGAGGCAAGAGAGGGAGAGGAGAGAGGAGGAGGAGCAGCAGCAGCAGCAGAAGAGGAGGCGGGAGGGGACGGAGGAGGACAGAAGAGACGGAGCUGAAAGCCACCUGCUGAGACCUCACCAGCUCUCCCUCCAUGUCAGGAGGACUGACAAGGUUGCCAUGGUGACUGGACUCUGUGAACAAACCACCUUCUGCGUCCGGUCCCUUCCUACAUUACAGCCGAGCCCUGUAAUGGGGAGCAGGCGCCGCCCCAGACCGUGCAAUCGGCAGGAAGACACCUGUAAACCACAGAUCCAGGACCCCAACAAUAAACACCUCGCCCGGCACAGCAGACACCAGCUGCCCCGCAAUCAGCACCUUCCGCUCCACCAACGUGCCGUCUCCGACUACUAUAGCAACCCCAUGACCUUCGGCAGUCUGCAGAACUCAGGAAGACACUCAGCGAGGACUCCGCCUCUGUGUAACGGCCCGGUUAACAGGACGGUAAGUGAGAAGCCCGGCGUCCUGCGCUCGUCCAGGAGAAGGAGAGGUCUCCCGCCCGACACCACCCUACUGAACGGGGUUCUUUUGGACGGCAGCUCGUCAAAGAAGUGCAGGACAGUGCCACUUGGUGACGGCGAUGUCCCACGGAGGGAAGACCGCUGCGGCAAAGAUGUGAGUCACGUUGGUGGAAUCCCCCGCAGCCACGAGCGCGAACUGGAAGGAGACGCCUGUGGCCGUGUUGGAGAGACGAGAGCAGAGGGGGACAGUUGCGUUGGCGACGACCAGCGGGGCAGAGCAAAGAUCGAAGAGUUAACUUUGACCAGCGUCUCUGCUCUGGAGCCCUCUGAAGAAAGGGUCUACCCAGCCGACACCGCCGCACACUGUGACCUCGGCCACGUCGAGCUGCUGCUGCUAGGACUCCCAUGAUUAAAGCUGCUCUCAACUCGGUGACAACUGACCCCCCGGCCAGUUGUUCUGCCACGCACACUCCAAAGGCUACUGGCAAGAACGCUGCCAAGUGCACUCCACCAGCCAUCAGUUGCUCCAUCCAUGAUUCCAAAGGUGCAGCGAAAGACUCUUCCGAAGGCUCCACUGAGGACCCGACGGAGGACAGGAGCUGUCCCAGCACUUCCAAGGGCUCCGCGAAGGGCCUCGCCCAGACCAGGUCUACUACCUCAGCCAUUAAGACCAGGACCAGCCCCAGAACUCUUCUGAAGCGCUAACACACCCUCGAGCUUCGCCCGAAAACUUUCCUGAAUUUACUAAAUCAAUUGAUGUUGAAGACUAGUGGGAAGGUUGUAUUUUUUGUUUGUUUUGUUGAAAGCAUUGGAUACUGUUCAUCUCUUCAUGAUGAUGUUUGUUGGCUGGUCAGAUACUGACGCAGUGACUGUGUUCUGUUCUUGACAUAAAUGAUGUGGGAUUGUUUAAAAGCUACGUGGGUGAAAUAAAUCAUUUAAAGACGUGGUAUAACGCUGGAGACUGCUGCUUGCAGUGGUUUAGUCCGUUUUCAGAUGCUUCCCUGCUGUGUUUGGAAUAAUAACUUGAUAUUUUUCUAAACCUAAUCCUUAUUAAGAUGGAAAAGGCAGUGUGUGUUUAUAGAAAUACUUUUAAUUAAAGCAAUGAGUUUAACUGUAGAGUUCUACCUGCCAACGCUGUGGUGCUUUUUGGCCGUCUUCGGACAGUCCUUCAUUUAAACAGCAAGCAUCUGGUCAGGAUGGUUUACAUCACCAACAUAAAGGGUUUAUCAAUUAUAAUCCUCACAUUUUUUAUGAAUACAUUUAUUCAAGUCCCCUUUUAACAGUA
ensembl:lncRNA